rnacentral:rRNA from 1 species
GAUGAACGCUGGCGGCGUGCUCAACACAUGCAAGUCGAACGAAGACAUCUGAGUGCUUGCACUUGGAUGGACUGAGUGGCGGACGGGUGAGUAACGCGUGGGUAACCUGCCUUAUACAGGGGGAUAACAGUUGGAAACGACUGCUAAUACCGCAUAAGCGCACGGUAUCGCAUGAUACAGUGUGAAAAACUCCGGUGGUAUAAGAUGGACCCGCGUCUGAUUAGCUUGUUAGUGAGGUAACGGCCCUCCAAGGCGACGAUCAGUAGCCGGCCUGAGAGGGUGAACGGCCACAUUGGGACUGAGACACGGCCCAAACUCCUACGGGAGGCAGCAGUGGGGAAUAUUGCACAAUGGGGGAAACCCUGAUGCAGCGACGCCGCGUGAGGGAAGACGGCCUUCGGGUUGUAAACCGCUUUCAGCAGGGACGAAGUGAAAAUGACGGUACCUGCAGAAGAAGCACCGGCUAACUACGUGCCAGCCGCCGCGGUAA